rnacentral:rRNA from 1 species
GGAUUCGNAUGGGGGAACCCUGACGCAGCGACNCCGCGUGGAGGAUGAAGGUCUUCGGAUUGUAAACUCCUUUUGUCGGGGAAGAUAAUGACGGUACCCGAUGAAUAAGCCACGGCUAACUCUGUGCCAGCAGCCGCGGUAAGACAGAGGUGGCAAGCGUUGUUCGGAAUUACUGGGCUUAAAGGGCGCGUAGGCGGUGGUGCAAGUCUGGGGUGGAAGAUUAGGGCUUAACCCUAAAAUUGCCUUGGAAACUGUAUCACUUGAGUCAGCGAGGGGAUGGCGGAAUUCCAGGUGUAGCGGUGAAAUGCGUAGAUAUCUGGAGGAAGGCCGGUGGCGAAGGCGGCCAUCUGGCGCUGAACUGACGCUGAGGCGCGAAAGCGUGGGGAGCAAACAGGAUUAGAUACCCUGGUAGUCCACGCCCUAAACGGUGGGUACUAGGUGUAGGGCUCGCAAGGGUUCUGUGCCGUAGGGAAACCAUUAAGUACCCCGCCUGGGGAGUACGGCCGCAAGGUUGAAACUCAAAGAAAUUGACGGA